rnacentral:rRNA from 1 species
AGAUUGAACGCUGGCGGCAGGCCUAACACAUGCAAGUCGAGCGGCAGCACGGGUACUUGUACCUGGUGGCGAGCGGCGGACGGGUGAGUAAUGCCUAGGAAUCUGCCUGAUAGUGGGGGAUAACGUUCGGAAACGGACGCUAAUACCGCAUACGUCCUACGGGAGAAAGUGGGGGAUCUUCGGACCUCACGCUAUCAGAUGAGCCUAGGUCGGAUUAGCUAGUUGGUAGGGUAAAGGCCUACCAAGGCUACGAUCCGUAACUGGUCUGAGAGGAUGAUCAGUCACACUGGAACUGAGACACGGUCCAGACUCCUACGGGAGCAGCAGUGGGGAAUAUUGGACAAUGGGCGAAAGCCUGAUCCAGCCAUGCCGCGUGUGUGAAGAAGGUCUUCGGAUUGUAAAGCAACUUUAAGUUGGAGAAGGCAUUAACCUAAUACGUUAGUGUUUGACUUACGACAGAAUAAGCACCGGCUAACUCUGUGCCAAGCAAGCCGA